GUGGGGAAUAUUGGGCAAUGGGGGCAACCCUGACCCAGCGACGCCGCGUGGGGGAAGACGGCCUUCGGGUUGUAAACCUCUUUUGUACGGGAAGAAGGAAGUGACGGUACUGUACGAAUAAGUCCCGGCUAACUACGUGCCAGCAGCCGCGGUAAUACGUAGGGGACGAGCGUUGUCCGGAAUUACUGGGCGUAAAGGGCGCGCAGGCUGUGCUGCAAGUCAGCUGUUAAAUGUCUGGGCUUAACCCGGGCAUGCGGUUGAGACUGCGGUGCUGGAGUGCUGUAGAGGCAAGUGGAAUUCCCAGUGUAGCGGUGAAAUGCGUAGAUAUUGGGAAGAACACCGGUGGCGAAGGCGACUUGCUGGGCAGCAACUGACGCUGAGGCGCGAAAGCCAGGGGAGCAAACGGGAUUAGAAACCCGUGUAGUCC
rnacentral:rRNA from 1 species